rnacentral:lncRNA from 1 species
CUCGUCAUCAGGAGCUUCAAUUUUAACAACUGUUCUAGAAGCAACUGGUCUCACAUCUUUUUCAUAUCUUUUGCUAGACUUCUGUAUCUUUGUCCUCCGUUGUUGUUUUUUGUUGGAUGAUAUUGAGGUUUCCUUUCUGCACAUAUCCUUCUUCUCAUCAUUUGUUGCAUUCUUGGAGGAGUGGUUCACCUAUAAGAAUGAAAAUUAUUUUUUAACAUUUAAAAACAAAAAUUGCACACUUGUGAGAGAGAAAUCAUUAAUUAGUGGGAACACCUUGUUAUGGAA